rnacentral:tRNA from 1 species
UCCCCAGUGGCGAAAUUGGCUAGCGCGCGGUACUUAUACUGCAGUAUCUGUAAGUAAUGUCGAGACUGUGAGUUCAAGCCUUACUUGGGGAA